rnacentral:rRNA from 1 species
AGUGAACGCUGGCGGCAGGCCUAACACAUGCAAGUCGAACGGCAGCACAGAGGAGCUUGCUCCUUGGGUGGCGAGUGGCGGACGGGUGAGGAAUGCAUCGGAAUCUGCCUAUUUGUGGGGGAUAACGUAGGGAAACUUACGCUAAUACCGCAUACGUCCUACGGGAGAAAGUGGGGGACCUUCGGGCCUCACGCAGAUAGAUGAGCCGAUGCCGGAUUAGCUAGUUGGCGGGGUAAAGGCCCACCAAGGCGACGAUCCGUAGCUGGUCUGAGAGGAUGAUCAGCCACACUGGAACUGAGACACGGUCCAGACUCCUACGGGAGGCAGCAGUGGGGAAUAUUGGACAAUGGGCGCAAGCCUGAUCCAGCCAUGCCGCGUGUGUGAAGAAGGCCUUCGGGUUGUAAAGCACUUUUGUCCGGAAAGAAAAGCGCUCGAUUAAUACUCGGG